rnacentral:rRNA from 1 species
GGUGGGCAACUACCACUCAGGGCCGGAAAGCUCUCCAAACUCGGUCAUUUAGAGGAAGUAAAAGUCGUAACAAGGUCUCCGUUGGUGAACCAGCGGAGGGAUCAUUACCGAGUUUACAACUCCCAAACCCAAUGUGAACGUUACCAAACUGUUGCCUCGGCGGGAUCUCUGCCCCGGGUGCGUCGCAGCCCCGGACCAAGGCGCCCGCCGGAGGACCAACCAAAACUCUUAUUGUAUACCCCCUCGCGGGUUUUUUUUAUAAUCUGAGCCUUCUCGGCGCCUCUCGUAGGCGUUUCGAAAAUGAAUCAAAACUUUCAACAACGGAUCUCUUGGUUCUGGCAUCGAUGAAGAACGCAGCGAAAUGCGAUAAGUAAUGUGAAUUGCAGAAUUCAGUGAAUCAUCGAAUCUUUGAACGCACAUUGCGCCCGCCAGUAUUCUGGCGGGCAUGCCUGUCCGAGCGUCAUUUCAACCCUCGAACCCCUCCGGGGGGUCGGCGUUGGGGAUCGGCCCUGCCUUGGCGGUGGCCGUCUCCGAAAUACAGUGGCGGUCUCGCCGCAGCCUCUCCUGCGCAGUAGUUUGCACACUCGCAUCGGGAGCGCGGCGCGUCCACAGCCGUUAAACACCCAACUUCUGAAAUGUUGACCUCGGAUCAGGUAGGAAUACCCGCUGAACUUAAGCAUAUCAAUAAGCGGAGGAAAAGAAACCAACAGGGAUUGCCCCAGUAACGGCGAGUGAAGCGGCAACAGCUCAAAUUUGAAAUCUGGUCCCCAGGGCCCGAGUUGUAAUUUGUAGAGGAUGCUUUUGGUGAGGUGCCGCCCGAGUUCCCUGGAACGGGACGCCACAGAGGGUG